rnacentral:lncRNA from 1 species
GGGCCCGGACCAACGCUUCGUUUGUACAUCGCAAUUUCGGCCCGCUGGGCCGGCUACCUCAUCGCCCACCGUCGGAUCGUUCGAUCACCGCCUGUGAAUGAAGUACUAAUAAACCCUAAGCAGCCGCCGCCUAGCCGCCGCCGUCUUGGUAAGGCUCGCCUCUCCGCGGAUGCUCGCAAGAGAAAGCUGAAAAAGCUCGGAGAUUGUGUGUUGACAUCAGCUUCGUCUCUUUAUGUCUGUGAGAUGGGAGUUAAAUGACAGCACGAAAUUCCAUUCUCUUUGGGUGCACUGGUGCAGUCCUCCCCACCUACAAGGAUCAGCCACCAUCACUGCCGCUGCUGCACCAUUGCAGCUUUCCUUUCUGGAAUCUCCAUGAUACAAAACAAAACCAACCCUAGAUGUGUUCUAUUGCUGACACAGGGAGUUGUAAGUACAUGUUAAAUGGUGGCAUACUAUACAGCUGUACAAUAGACGCAAGAAACAAUAACCACUUACAUGCCAUCCUCCACCCUGAAAUAGAAAACCAUUUUUAGCAUGUUGGUGCUUCAUUUUGUAUUCCAUUGGGAUAUAAAAAUGGUAGAGAACAACCAUUUUUAACCCAAUUUUGUAUUCCUUUGCGGAUAUAAAUAUGGUAUAGAUUGUAACUUGAUAUCUGGACUCA